GAUGAACGCUGGCGGCGUGCCUAACACAUGCAAGUCGAGCGGCAGCGAGGGGUGCUUGCACCCUGUCGGCGAGCGGCGGACGGCUGAGUAACGCGUGGGAACGUGCCCCAAAGUGAGGAAUAACUGCCCGAAAGGGUAGCUAAUACCGCAUAUUAUCUUCGGAUCAAAGGAUUUAUCCGCUUUGGGAGCGGCUCGCGUCGGAUUAGGUAGUUGGUGAGGUAAUGGCUCACCAAGCCGAUGAUCCGUAGCUGGUCUGAGAGGAUGACCAGCCAGACUGGAACUGAGACACGGUCCAGACUCCUACGGGAGGCAGCAGUGAGGAAUCUUCCACAAUGGGCGAAAGCCUGAUGGAGCAACGCCGCGUGCAGGACGAAGGCCUUCGGGUUGUAAACUGCUUUUAUAAGUGAGGAAUAUGACGGUAACUUAUGAAUAAGGAUCGGCUAACUACGUG
rnacentral:rRNA from 1 species